rnacentral:rRNA from 1 species
GAUGAACGCUGGCGGCGUGCCUAACACAUGCAAGUCGAGCGAUUUACUCCGGUAAAGAGCGGCGGACGGGUGAGUAACGCGUGGGUAACCUGCCCUGUACACACGGAUAACAUACCGAAAGGUAUGCUAAUACGAGAUAAUAUGCUUUUAUCGCAUGGUAGAAGUAUCAAAGCUCCGGCGGUACAGGAUGGACCCGCGUCUGAUUAGCUAGUUGGUAAGGUAACGGCUUACCAAGGCGACGAUCAGUAGCCGACCUGAGAGGGUGACCCUCCAGACUGGGACUGAGACACGGCCCAGACUCCUACGGGAGGCAGCAGUGAGGAAUUUUGCGCAAUGCGGGAAACCGUGACGCAGCAAUGCCGCGUGCAGGAAGACGGCCUUCGGGUUGUAAACUGCUUUUCUAAAGGAAGAUUAUGACGGUACUUUAGGAAUAAGAACUUGCUAACUACGUGCCAGCCGCCGCCGUAA